rnacentral:rRNA from 1 species
GAUGAACGCUGGCGGCGUGCUUAACACAUGCAAGUCGAACGAGAAGUGAAGACGGAAACCUUCGGGCGGAAGGCUUUAUUUCGAGUGGCGGACGGGUGAGUAACGCGUGGGUAACCUGCCUCAUACAGGGGGAUAACAGUUGGAAACGACUGUUAAUACCGCAUCAGACCACAGCACCGCAUGGUGCGGGGUUGAAAACUCCGGUGGUAUGAGAUGGACCCGCGUUCGAUUAGCCAGUUGGCGGGGUAACGGCCCACCAAAGCGACGAUCGAUAGCCGAAGUGAGAGGAUGACCGGACACACUGGGACUGAGACACGGCCGAAACUCCUACGGGAGGCAGCAGUGGGGAAUAGUGCACAAUGGGGGAAACGCUGAUGCAGCGACGCCGCGUGAGUGAAGAAGUAUUUCGGUAUGUAAAGCUCUAUCAGCAGGGAAGAAAAUGACGGUACCUGAGUAAGAAGCCCCGGCUAACUACGUG